UACAGAGGGUGCAAGCGUUGUUCGGAAUUAUUGGGCGUAAAGCGCGUGUAGGCGGCUUUGCAAGUCGGGUGUGAAAGCCCUCGGCUCAACCCAGGAAGUGCACUCGAAACUGGCGGGCUUGAAUAUGGAAGAGGGUCGCGGAAUUCCCGGUGUAGAGGUGAAAUUCGUAGAUAUCGAGAGGAACACCGGUGGCGAAGGCGGCCUUCUGGACAGUGACUGACGCUGAGACGCGAAAGCGUGGGGAGCAAACAGG
rnacentral:rRNA from 1 species